rnacentral:rRNA from 1 species
UAGGGAAUCUUCCACAAUGGACGCAAGUCUGAUGGAGCAACGCCGCGUGAGUGAAGAAGGCUUUCGGGUCGUAAAACUCUGUUAUUGAAGAAGAACGUGUGUGACAGUAACUGGUCAUGCAGUGACGGUAUUCAAUCAGAAAGUCACGGCUAACUACGUGCCAGCAGCCGCGGUAAUACGUAGGUGGCAAGCGUUGUCCGGAUUUAUUGGGCGUAAAGCGAGUGCAGGCGGUCUUUUAAGUCUGAUGUGAAAGCCUUCGGCUUAACCGAAGAAGGGCAUCGGAAACUGGGAGACUUGAGUGCAGAAGAGGAGAGUGGAACUCCAUGUGUAGCGGUGAAAUGCGUAGAUAUAUGGAAGAACACCAGUGGCGAAGGCGGCUCUCUGGUCUGUAACUGACGCUGAGGCUCGAAAGCGUGGGUAGCAAACAGGAUUAGAUACCCUGGUAGUCCACGCCGUAAACGAUGAAUACCAAGUGUUGGAGGGUUUCCGCCCUUCAGUGCUGCAGCUAACGCAUUAAGUAUUCCGCCUGGGGAGUACGACCGCAAGGUUGAAAC